UACCCAAAAUUUUAGAUGACAAGAAUUGACACAGGUGAAGUUAAAGACCCGGAAACAGAGAGAUGAAAGAAAUAAACGAAAUAGAUGUGCAAUCAAUUACUUGGACAUUUAUAUGGAAGCAUGAUUAACAAAUCUAGACUCCUUUAGUUAAGGGAAUAUGUCUAUAAACUU